CCUACGGGAGGCAGCAGUGAGGAAUAUUGGUCAAUGGGCGGGAGCCUGAACCAGCCAAGCCGCGUGAGGGAAGAAGGUACAGCGUAUCGUAAACCUCUUUUGUCAGGGAACAAAGGCGGGGACUAGUCCCAGGAUGAGGGUACCUGAAGAAAAAGCAUCGGCUAACUCCGUUCCAGCAGCCGCGGUAAUAAGGAGGAUGCGAGCGUUACCCGGAUUUAUUGGGUUUAACGGGUGCGCCGGGGGCCUGUUAAGUCAGCGGUAAAAUCCCGGGGCUCAACCCCGGCGGGCCGUUGAGACUGGCGGGCUGGAGUUGGAGAGAAGUACGCGGAAUGCGCGGUGUAGCGGUGAAAUGCUUAGAUAUCGCGCAGAACCCCGAUUGCGAAGGCAGCGUACCGACUCCACACUGACGCUGAGGCACGAAAGCGUGGGUAGCGAACAGGAUUAGAUACCCGGGUAGUC
rnacentral:rRNA from 1 species